rnacentral:rRNA from 1 species
CCUACGGGAGGCAGCAGUGGGGAAUAGUGGGCAAUGGGCGCAAGCCUGACCCAGCAACGCCGCGUGAAGGAAGAAGGCUUUCGGGUUGUAAACUUCUUUUGACAGGGAAGAGGAGAAGACGGUACCUGUCGAAUAAGCCACGGCUAACUACGUGCCAGCAGCCGCGGUAAUACGUCGGUGGCAAGCGUUGUCCGGAUUUACUGGGUGUAAAGGGCGUGUAGCCGGGUUGACAAGUCAGAUGUGAAAUCCUGCGGCUUAACCGCAGAAAUGCAUUUGAAACUGUUGAUCUUGAGUACUGGAGAGUCAGACGGACUUCCUAGUGUAGCGGUGACAUGCGUAGAUAUUAGGAG